GACGAACCGUGCGAACGUUGCUCGGAAUCACUGGGCGUAAAGGGUGCGUAGGCGGGUCUUUAAGUCAGGGGGGAAAUCCUGGAGCUCAACUCCAGAACUGCCUUUGAUACUGAAGAUCUUGAGUUCGGGAGAGGUGAGUGGAACUGCGAGUGUAGAGGUGAAAUUCGUAGAUAUUCGCAAGAACACCAGUGGCGAAGGCGGCUCACUGGCCCGAUACUGACGCUGAGGCACGAAAGCGUGGGGAGCAAACAGG
rnacentral:rRNA from 1 species